rnacentral:rRNA from 1 species
UGCAAGUCGACGCUGAAGCCUGGUGCUUGCACCGGGUGGAUGAGUGGCGAACGGGUGAGUAACACGUGAGUAACCUGCCCCUGACUUCGGGAUAAGCCCGGGAAACUGGGUCUAAUACCGGAUACGACUGCCGGACGCAUGUCUGGUGGUGGAAAGUUUUUUCGGUUGGGGAUGGGCUCGCGGCCUAUCAGUUUGUUGGUGAGGUAAUGGCUCACCAAGACGACGACGGGUAGCCGGCCUGAGAGGGCGACCGGCCACACUGGGACUGAGACACGGCCCAGACUCCUACGGGAGGCAGCAGUGGGGAAUAUUGCACAAUGGGGGAAACCCUGAUGCAGCGACGCAGCGUGCGGGAUGACGGCCUUCGGGUUGUAAACCGCUUUCAGCAGGGAAGAAGCGCAAGUGACGGUACCUGCAGAAGAAGUACCGGCUAACUACGUGCCAGCAGCCGCGGUAAUACGUAGGGUACGAGCGUUGUCCGGAAUUAUUGGGCGUAAAGAGCUCGUAGGUGGUUGGUCACGUCUGCUGUGGAAACGCAACGCUUAACGUUGCGCGUGCAGUGGGUACGGGCUGACUAGAGUGCAGUAGGGGAGUCUGGAAUUCCUGGUGUAGCGGUGAAAUGCGCAGAUAUCAGGAGGAACACCGGUGGCGAAGGCGGGACUCUGGGCUGUAACUGACACUGAGGAGCGAAAGCAUGGGGAGCGAACAGGAUUAGAUACCCUGGUAGUCCAUGCCGUAAACGUUGGGCACUAGGUGUGGGGGGCAUUCCACGUUCUCCGCGCCGUAGCUAACGCAUUAAGUGCCCCGCCUGGGGAGUACGGUCGCAAGGCUAAAACUCAAAGGAAUUGACGGGGGCCCGCACAAGCGGCGGAGCAUGCGGAUUAAUUCGAUGCAACGCGAAGAACCUUACCAAGGCUUGACAUACACCGGACCGUCCUGGAAACAGGUCUUCUUCUUUGAAGCUGGUGUACAGGUGGUGCAUGGUUGUCGUCAGCUCGUGUCGUGAGAUGUUGGGUUAAGUCCCGCAACGAGCGCAACCCUCGUUCUAUGUUGCCAGCAUGUGAUGGUGGGAACUCAUAGGAGACUGCCGGGGUCAACUCGGAGGAAGGUGGGGAUGACGUCAAAUCAUCAUGCCCUUUAUGUCUUGGGCUUCACGCAUGCUACAAUGGCUGGUACAGAGAGAGGCGAACCCGUGAGGGCAAGCGAAUCCCUUAAAGCCAGUCUCAGUUCGGAUCGUAGUCUGCAAUUCGACUACGUGAAGUCGGAGUCGCUAGUAAUCGCAGAUCAG